UCUCGCGGGCGAAACUGCGCUGAUUCCACGUCCGGAAGUCGAUCAGGCAGGAUGGAGCGCGACACCAAGCACACUUCCUGUAAUUGCCUGGAUUUUAACAAAAUGGCCAAGGUGAAGAAAGUGGUGGACGAAGCACGGGAACAAAACAACCCCGAGCUCGACCUGGUCGACCGAGGAAUCACCUCCAUCGAAGAGAUACCCGGAUUGUUCUCACUGCCGAAUUUGACAAGGUUGACAUUAAGCCACAACAAAAUCAGAGUUGUUCCAGCUAGCAUAGCAAACUUGUACAACUUGGAAAUUCUGACACUAUGCAACAACCAAAUUGUGGAGUUGCCAUCUUCUAUCUCUACCAUGCCAAAACUCAAGAUUCUGAACUUGGCCAUAAACCGGCUCAGCAGCCUGCCCCGGGGGUUUGGUGCCUUCCCCGUGCUCGAGGUGCUCGACCUCACAUACAACAACCUGAACGAGCAGUCCCUGUCCAACAACUUUUUCAUUAUGGAUACUCUGCGGGCCUUGUACUUAGGUGACAACGAGUUUGAGAAGCUUCCUCCAGCCAUUGGACAACUCAAGAAUUUGCAAAUUCUCUCCGUGCGGGAAAACGAGCUUGUGGAGCUUCCCAAGGAACUGGGCCAGCUGACCAGGUUGAGAGAGCUGCAUAUUCAAGGCAACAGGCUGACGCUGCUUCCCCCGGAGCUAGGCAAUCUGGACCUUGCGAGCCAUCGUUGUGUGGUCCGCAUGGAUGACAACCCCUGGGUUGCCCCCAUAGCCGAUCAGCUGCAGAUUGGUGUCUCCCACGUUGUGGAAUACAUCCGCAGCGAUACCUAUAAAUACGUUUAUGGCCGCAACACGCACAGCAGCCUGUCUCCGCCCCCCAAGAAGACGGACAAGAACAAGAAAAUAGUUGAGAGAGAGGCGAAAGAAGCCUCUUGAGAGUACGGUAUGACAUGAGCUCUGCUCUGACCUGGAUGUGGACACUACGUUGACUGCCAUUUCUUUUUGAUAAGAAGCAAAAAAAUGCAUUGCAGUGAUAUGCAUUAUUGCAUUUCAUGCUCACAAUGCAUUAAUAAAUGCCAGCAGCUGCUAUUGACCUCGCCGGCAUUAUCAGAUGGGCUCCUCGUCUACUUUGAUCUUUGUCGGGCUGCCUUUGCAUUUGUCUUCUGGCGUAUUUAUUCACUCUGUGACAGCUGAAUCGCUUAUUCAAAACGGCAAACCGUAGGGGAAACAAGACAUUGUAACAAGGACGGGAGGAUGUUGGCAAAGUAAAUGAGCGAGCAAGAAUGAGAAUAGGGGUUAUAGCUUUGAAGUGUUUGUGUGGGAAACCAAGUGCAUUUCAAGGGUAGGCAUGUCAAUGCAGACCUGUCUACCGCAUUUCUUUGGCUGUAUUCAGAUAGUUCUAUACUUGAUAUGCAAUCAUUACGACUGCUGAUAUGUAGCAGGGAACGUUUUAUUAACGUGUUUGAAGUUCGGACGUGCCAAAAGGUCACUGCUGAGUGUAGUAAUGCGAGAUUUUUUACAUUUGAAGACGGCAAAACUAGUAGUAGUGCUUGUUUGGCUAUAAUCAGUUUCAUACGUACCAGGCAAUGCUACAAGCUGCUGUGGCAGUACUGCAGACAUAAAUGCUAUGCUGUGCAGUUGUUUUUAAUCUUUAAUGCUUAGCACUUUUUAUAAGUGUCACAAGUGCAAAAUUUCCUCCUUUGCUGCUGCAGCUCAUGAAUGCAGGCCUACGUCAAGUGACAUUAUGUUUAUAAAGUACUACGCUUGGGUGAUAACAUCAAUUAUGUUUUUUGUAGUCAGUGUGAGAAUAUCGCCAGUAGUCUGGACACAUCAACUCGCAUGUGUGCUGGUAAAUCGGGUUCAUAUUUCCAGUGCUUUCCAGUGAAUGAAUGUGUCACAAAACUAUGACGCUUAAAUUACAUUGAAUUAGAGGAAGCGUACCAAGGUGUUUCUUUCAUAUGUGGUAUUCUGUUUUUCAGUCAUGAAUAAUAGCAAUUAUGGCAGUCUCUAGCCUUCGUAGCAUUGCCUGAUAUCUAUGAAAUAGAGGUUCCUUAUAGUAUAUGGGUAAUAGCUGAUGUACUGCUAUAUUCUUAAGCUUAUGUUCACAUAAUGUUAAUCCACCUUCAACAUUAGUGUGCUGUUGAUGCUUUUGCACCUGCUUUGUGCCUAUAUACAUUUAGUUUAUGAGUAUAUUCUUUCAUUUUUGUGUACUUAUUCAUCACUUUGUUUACUUGAGAGUUUCUUACAAACACCCUGUGGUUCAUCUUGCACUAAAGAAAAAAUCUGGUGUCCAUCAUAUCUUCCUUGUUUUCACUCCUUAUGUUUUAUUGUUGUUACAUUAUUUUAUAAGAAACUUCUGCCCUUACUCUGCAUUUAUGGUCAGUUUCACAUCAGUGUCUAGAAACAAAGGCAGUAUCAGGCAGUUGUCUUGUUUAGUUUUGUGUUGAACACAAAGAUGCUUUGUUAGUGCAAUAUGUCCAAUUAUUUCACGCAUUACUGUCAAUGUUGCUGUACACGCAUAGAUGAUUGUUAAGUAAGCGUCUACAAGUUUUAAAAUUACUCGUUAGCCGUUUUAACCUUACAAGAUGUUUGAGUCUGCUUAGAGUUCAGAACCUAAUGAUUUCCGCUAGUCGCACAAGUUGAAUAAAAGUUUUAAUCUAUU
rnacentral:misc_RNA from 1 species